ACGUCCUGGAUGUGAAGAGAUUGUUGUCCAAGGGCCUGUGCCAAAGGAUUGGCAAGGUUUCUCGGUCAAGUUUGCCGAGUCCCUUAAAGCUUGCUAUGCAGAUAGGUCGUACUAUGGCCCUCCGGAUUUCUUGUGCCAAUACUGUGGUGCCUCCUUUUGGUUUGCUGAGUGUUCAAAGUCCAGGUCAUCCUGGACACAACGUAAGAUGGUUUAUAAUCGCUG